AAUACGUCUGUUAGAAGUCUCCUUCAUGUUAUCCAAUCUUGAAAUGUUGUUUCUUGAUAAACAUGUGUCGACUUAAAUGAGCCAGCAUCUUGUACUGUGGCGUGAGGUCAGAUUAGAUCGAGUCACGUUUAAAAUAGCAUGAGGAGUUGGGCCGAGUCAUGGCCGAAAUGGUGUAAGGCUAGUUGGGCCGAAUCACGCUUUAAGUGAUCGAAAUGGUUAGCACCAACAAUUUGAUCGACAAGUGGUAUCAGAGACAGAGGUCACGAGUUCGAUUCCCGUAUGCUGCGAAUUUGUGUAAAUACUGAAGGAAGAAUUGUUGGCUUAAAUGAGCAAUCAUCUUACCCUGUGGUGCGAGACUAACUCGGACCGAAUCACAUUCGAAAUGACGUGAAACUAGGUUUGGCCAAACUAUGUUCGAGGUGGCGUGAGGCUGGUUGAGCCGAAUUGUACAAUUAAGACCGUGACCACCACAAAAGUCGUGGAUGAAUCAGCAGACUUCAUCGGAGGUACACAUCGGAGGUAACUAACUAUUCUCGACGACUUUUCCACUGGAUGGAUCAUUCGGAAAACUCUAACCUGCUGUCCUCUUCUUGAAAAAUAUACUUGUAGCUGCUACUUUGGAGUUUUCUUGUGCCCCUUGUUUUUGCAUGAGUGAAAAAAACCCUAAAAAAUUCCAUAACAAACUAAGCAACAAAAUGGGAUCAAAGGGGCUUAUAAGUGCAUAAAGCCCACC
rnacentral:lncRNA from 1 species